UACAGAGGUCCCAAGCGUUGUUCGGAUUCAUUGGGCGUAAAGGGUGUGUAGGUGGCGCCGUAAGUCGGGUGUGAAAUCUCGGGGCUUAACUCCGAAACUGCAUUCGAUACUGCGGUGCUUGAGGACUGGAGAGGAGACUGGAAUUCAUGGUGUAGCAGUGAAAUGCGUAGAGAUGUGGAGGAACACCAGUGGCGAAGGCGACUCUUUGGCCUGUAACUGACGCUGAGGCGCGAAAGCGUGGGGAGCAAACAGG
rnacentral:rRNA from 1 species